AAGAGGUAGCAAUACCUUUGUCGGCGACCGGCGCACGGGUGAGUAACACGUAUGCAAUCCACCUGUAACAGGGGGAUAACCCGGAGAAAUCCGGACUAAUACCCCAUAAUAUGGACGCUCCGCAUGGAGGGUCCAUUAAAGAGAGCAAUUUUGGUUACAGACGAGCAUGCGCUCCAUUAGCCAGUUGGAGGGGUAACGGCCCACCAAGGCGACGAUCAGUAGCCGGUCUGAGAGGAUGAACGGCCACACUGGAACUGAGACACGGUCCAGACUCC
rnacentral:rRNA from 1 species